GGGUGCAAAAGAGGGUGUGUUUAAUUUGGUGCAAGGGCUCCAAGAGUUGGUGCCUAAUAGGAUUCCUAAUAUAAGUUAAAUAACUUAAGUUAUUAGGAAAUCCAAUGCAAGUAGGACUUGUAUUAUGAGAUUGAAUAAGAUUCAAUCCUCAUGGCUAUUUAAAGGGACCUCCCCUAAGGUCCCUAGAGCAUCUAAACAAGUAGCCCUCCAUGCCCAAAAGGUCCCCCCACACCUCUUUUCCUCUUCCUUUCUCUUCUCUUCUUGGCAUCCCACAUGUCCCACCUAGUUGGGAUGUCCCAUCUUCCUCAUGCCCAAGCUGGUUAGGCAUCCCUCCUUGCUGGUUUCCACCUAUUGGUAGUAGCAUAAAUC
rnacentral:lncRNA from 1 species